rnacentral:rRNA from 1 species
ACGAACGCUGGCGGCGUGCUUCACACAUGCAAGUCGAACGGGAUUUAGUAAACGGAAGCCUCGGUGGAAGAUUACUAAUGAGAGUGGCGAACGGGUGAGUAACGCGUGAGCAACCUGCCUAUGACAGUGGGAUAGCCUCGGGAAACCGGGAUUAAUACCGCAUAAAAUCGUAGAAACACAUGUUUCAACGGUCAAAGAUUUAUCGGUCAUAGAUGGGCUCGCGUCUGAUUAGCUAGUUGGUGAGAUAACAGCCCACCAAGGCGACGAUCAGUAGCCGGUCUGAGAGGAUGAACGGCCACAUUGGAACUGAGACACGGUCCAAACUCCUACGGGAGGCAGCAGUGGGGAAUAUUGCACAAUGGGGGAAACCCUGAUGCAGCGACGCCGCGUGAACGAAGAAGGUAUUCGUAUCGUAAAGUUCUGUCCUAUGGGAAGAUAAUGACAGUACCAUAGAAGAAAGCUCCGGCUAAAUACGUG